GGCGAACGGGUGAGUAACACGUGGGUGAUCUGCCCUGCACUCUGGGAUAAGCCUGGGAAACUGGGUCUAAUACCGGAUAGGACCAUGCUUUAGUGUGUGUGGUGGAAAGUUUUUUGGUGUAGGAUGAGCCCGCGGCCUAUCAGCUUGUUGGUGGGGUAAUGGCCUACCAAGGCGGCGACGGGUAGCCGGACUGAGAGGUUGGUCGGCCACAUUGGGACUGAGAUACGGCCCAG
rnacentral:rRNA from 1 species